GCUACAUAACGAAGGUUACGUAUGUAACCACGGUUAUGUGCACUAUUGGAUCAAUCCAAUCCUCUUUGUCUGUGAUCUACGUAAAAAGACACGAGGUGGAAGUAGUGCGGUGGCAGCUAUUUAAGGGGGUCAGCCUCAGCACUACCAAGUACAUGGGACUAAUCUGAAAUCCUUACUUGGAAUGUAUCCUGCCGCACGGAACGAUACCAUAUUGGAGUGAUCCAAUAGGCAACAUAACUGUGGGUAUAUACGUAUCUUUCAUUUAAGUCUACCACAGUACGAGUCAUAAUAAAAACCUAGUGGUCAAACAUGAAAGUGGUUCCAAUCGUUUUUCGACCAUUCAUUUUAUCCAUAGUGGAUUUUAGAAACACUUCGAAUAAGUGCUCUGUUUUGUGUAGGCUUACCCAGGCGUGAAGUUUUGAUAAGCGUGUAAAUCUCUCUCGGACAAGGUGACUUUUAUUAUCAAUAUAAUCGCCUGUAUUUACCCACCCCAAAAUUAAAUGCUAAUUAGCUGCUAAUGUGGCUAUCAUACAGAACUACAAAUGCCUGUCUCAAGCUUCACGUCACUGACCAGUGCCAUGAAGAUCAGGAUGAGACUGCCAAAUCGAGGCAAAGGUAAGAAUAUCUGGAUUAACUAUCUAAUGUUAGCUACAUUUUGUAAUUAUUAAAUUGGUUCAAGUUGUUUAAAUUGACAAUUCUGUUAACUGUCUUGGGCAAUUUUUUAAUUGAAAAUGCCUGUUAUCUAGCUAGCUAGCUCAUGGUUAGCAAGUUAGCAAUAUUAGCUUGGCUAGAUGGCUACAUAAACCGUCUAUUUGUCCAGCCAUUUAAAUGCAUGAAAAAUUUAUAAAAACAAGUUUAACUUUCUUUGGCUUUUAUAAACCAACAUUCUAGCUUGCUAGUUAUCUAGCUAGCUAACUUAUAUGGUGAAGCUAGGGCUAGGCAUUCUUGAUAAUGUUUGAUAUAUAACGCAUGCUCCACUCUCGGCGGCUGUUAAGAAGAAGGGAGCAGCUGCGAACCAGAAGACUGCAGCCAUGGCAGCACUGGUCCACACCUGCCCUGUCUGUCAGAUGCAGAACAGAAGAUAUUCAAGCAGCACUUUGAGAGUAAGUCUCCAAUGGUCCCAGUACUAGUUGAUGUGAAGGCCUAAGUGACCACACACACUCAAAUGGACCUACAGCUGGGGUAACAUUCUUUCAUCGUUCACACACAGUAGACAUUGUAAACCACCAUGUUGUCAUCAAAAUGCUGUCCUCAAUGCUUAAGUUGUAUUGUCUAUGGCUCAAUUUGUGGAAAUGCUGUGAUCAAUCAUCAUUUUUAAUGUUGUGACUCACAGACACACGAUGACCACGAUUUGAAUGCUGCAACAGACGGGCUAACGUCAAGGGACACGCCUGGACCCCGAGUAUGACUGGACAUGGGCUGGAUAUUUGUGACAUUGACCUAAAAGGGGUGCAGAAAGCACACCAGCACCCUAUUUUAUUUUUUAUUCCAUGACCAACCAUCUCUAACUGCCUCUUAUUCCACACUAUGCCCUAUGGUCCCUUAACUUCGGGCACUAUAAACCUCUAUAAACCUACCCUACCUUCACCCAUUUUGCCUAUGCUGCUUCCUUCACUUGUUCUUCUCCUGAUUUGAUAACAUCUAGACUCACUAACAAUUUUAAGUGUUGCGGUGUACGGUUUUUGCUACCUUUUCUCACCUGUGUAACGAUGUCCUGCUUAUUCUGGGGUUCAGACUGAAUGCAGUGCUAAAUGUGCUGCUCACAAUUGACAACAGCAACAUGGACCUGUUAAAUUGACCAGAAUGGUGUUGAUAUAGCUGAGUUUAGGCAUGGCUUCCUUGUUUUGAGUCUGUUAAAUGUGUUUCUUAUUUGUUCUCGUCUAAUUCCUAAACUGGAAAAGCAGAAGAAUCUGUGCGCUAUUGGAUAGUUAUAACAGUUCAUAUGGUGCUCUUCAAUGUCACAGGUUUGUGGUAUUGAUUAAUAAAUCAUUGAAUGAAUACUUAAUUUCAGAUGUUUAUAUGUUCUGUCUAAAAGUCAUAUGUAUGUAUUGUUUACUAUUUUGAUUUCUUUAAAACAAUGUAAUUGUUGGAGUGCAGGUGUUUGACUUGAUUGAUGGGUGACUAAGUGCAUUCCUGUCAAAUAAAUAUGCUUCAUUUAUUCAUGAUUUUGGAUACAUUCUGCAAUGGGUUAAUCUGGCAUUGAAUCUGCA
ensembl:lncRNA